UACGUAGGCAGCGAGCGUUGUUCGGAAUUACUGGGCGUAAAGAGUGUGUAGGCGGUGCCCUAAGUUCGGUGUGAAAUCUCCUGGCUUAACUGGGAGGGUGCGCCGGAAACUGGAGUGCUCGAACGUGGGAGAGGAAAGCGGAAUUCCUGGUGUAGCGGUGAAAUGCGUAGAUAUCAGGAGGAACACCUGCGGUGUAGACGGCUUUCUGGACCAUUGUUGACGCUGAGACACGAAAGCGUGGGUAGCAAACAGG
rnacentral:rRNA from 1 species